rnacentral:lncRNA from 1 species
UUUGAGCGUAUCCAAGAUACAGCGGAUUUGGGCACCCUGUCAAAUGUUCUCAUUGUCUGACCCUUGUCCAGACGCCAGUAAAACCCUUUGGGAAAUUCCCCCUCCGCCCAGCGCACCGGCUUUAAUUACAGGAGAGGAAUGCGAGGCGCAGAGCGCGGCUCCUCCCGGCCCUGCGCUCGGCCCAGCGCCUCGUGGCUCCCCGAAAGUUUUGGGAGCUGCGAGGUUCGGGGGUGCAGGGGAAGGGCUGUGACAUUCCCCGAGACCCCCGCGGGGGGUUUGUCCCCCUCCCCGGGCCGCGCUGGCAGCGGUGCCCGAGCAGCAGGACAUGAGUAAUCCCCAUCCCACCGGGGGAGGCAGAUCAAAGGCACCCGAGGAGAUACAAGAGGUUUCUGCUUCACAGACCAGAGCGGCUGCAGUUCAAUAGCGCCUUUGUUACCGGCCCUGCGGAGCCGGGGAUGGAGAAAUACCUGACCCCGCUCCCUCCCUCCCUCCUUCCCUCCCUCCCUCUGCUCCCAGCCCCUCGCAGCACAACCAGCUCAGCCACGAGAGCAGCACCAGAAAGGCUGGGGGGUCCCAAAGACCCCCCCUCUGUCGGGCUGGGAGCAGCGGGGUGACCCCCCCGAGCAGCGCUGGGCACCCCCUGCCCCGGGGUUUGGGGAGGAGAGGAUGAGGAUUGUGACGGUGAAGGCGCUGCCGCCCCAGCCCUGUCCCCGCUGGCACCGGGCCCUUCCCGCGGAGACCGUGCCACGCUGCCAAAGGUCGGAGUCACUCCCGAGCCUCUCCUGCUCCGGGUGAUGCCCCAGUUCACCUUCGCCUGUUUCUGUGGCCUCCACGGCUUCUGCAAGAUGAAGAGGAAGAAGGAACAGGCCAGCGGGGGGCAGGAGACGGCCGUGUGAGGAUCAGCCCCCGCCCGGGACCCCUCCUGUCCCCUCGAUUCUCCAUUUAUCCUGCAAAUUCUCUCCCGCAUCCCGCGGAUUCUCUCCUCAUUUCCCGUCCCUCCCUGUCCCCAGGACGGCCGGGGAAGAGCCGAAGUGUCCCUGCCCACGAUGUCCCUGCCCGUCCCGCUGGGAGCGAGAAUUCCCUCCCUGCUCCAGCAAUUCCCAGCAGAGAAACCGGGAAAAUCUCCAAAAUCCUGGCCAAGCCUUGUCGUUGCCAGAAUCCAGAGCUGGGCAGCGCCUCUGGCACGGCAAGGUCUGUCCCUGCCUCCUUCCCUCUCCCCGGCACAAUCCUGGAUGCUUCCAGAAACUCGGGAUGCGCUCCGGGAAUUCCUUCGGAUCUUCCUCUUCUCCCCUCCAGAAGCACCCGGACCUGAGCGCUGCUGGAGCAGAUAAAUCCCGCUGAUGGCAGUGGGAAUCAGGUGUCUAUCCAAGGAAAAUUCCAAGGAUUUUCCGUCCUCUGGAGCGGGAGGCGAGCGGUGAAGCCGAAGCUGGAGCCGUGUCCUGGCUGCUCCCGGAUUUCCUUUGGGAAGGGAUGCAGGAACGCAGCUCGUCCUCCCCAUCCCGGAUCCAGCUGGAAUUCCUGCAAAUCCCCCCCAAAAAAAAAUGCUGCGGAUUCCCAGGGUUCACGGGAAGAGCCUCCACCUCCUCAGGAAAGCAGAGCCGCGCUCCCCAAAGAGGAAUUUAUUCCCACCAGCAAUAAUCCCAUCCACCAAGGGAAGGAUCCACUGCCCUGCUCACAUUCCCACCGGGAAUUUGGGGUGGGAACUCUCCAGGCAGGGCAAUUCCUGCAUACAAGACUUAAAAAAUUAAAGCAAAAAAAACCAUUUUAAAUAUUUUUCCCCCCUCAGAAAUCACCUGGUGGAAGCUGUCCCUUCUCCCUGCCGAGGGGAGGAUUCUCUUCCAGGUAUUCCCAGUCUUCCCACAAGACAAAAUUAAUUCGUGGCUGUCCCAAAACUCGGCGUUUUCCAAAGGUUUUCCAGAGGAUGAAACAAUUCCAGAUCAGUUGAUUUGGGAAAAUGCUGAAUUUCCAUUUCAUUUCCCAUUUUUGCACCUCAGCCUCCUCGGUUCCACCUUUGGCGAGGAACUUUGGGAUCAGCUCUGGACCAAAAAAUCCAAGGAAAUUGGUGGAACUCCAAGGGAAUUUCCUGAAUUUCCCCAAUUCCACCUUUGGCAAGGAACAUUGGGAUCAGCUUUGAGCCAAAAAUAAAAAAUCCAAGGAAGUCGGGAAUUUCCUGGGA